CCUACGGGUGGCAGCAGUGAGGAAUAUUGGUCAAUGGGCGGGAGCCUGAACCAGCCAAGCCGCGUGAGGGAAGAAGGUACAGCGUAUUGUAAACCUCUUUUGUCAGGGAACAAAGGCGGGGACUAGUGCCCGGAUGAGGGUACCUGAAGAAAAAGCAUCGGCUAACUCCGUGCCAGCAGCCGCGGUAAUACGGAGGAUGCGAGCGUUAUCCGGAUUUAUUGGGUUUAAAGGGUGCGCAGGCGGCCUGUUAAGUCAGCGGUAAAAGCCCGGGGCUCAACCCCGGCGAGCCGUUGAAACUGGCGGGCUUGAGUGGGUGAGAAGUAUGCGGAAUGCGCGGUGUAGCGGUGAAAUGCUUAGAUAUCGCGCAGAACCCCGAUUGCGAAGGCAGCAUACCGGCUCCACACUGACGCUGAGGCACGAAAGCGUGGGUAUCGAACAGGAUUAGAUACCCUAGUAGUC
rnacentral:rRNA from 1 species